rnacentral:tRNA from 1 species
CCCUGGUGACUUAGAUGGUAAAAAAUCUGCUUGCAAUGCAGGAAACUCAGGUUCGAUCCCUGGAUCAGGAA